AGCCCAGGUGGCCAGGAACUAAAGCCUCCAGCCAAGAGCCAUGGGGGCGGGGCUUCUCCAGUCAUCACAAUUCCGUUUUGAGAGGCUCGCUCUCUGCCUGCCGUGUGGACAAUGGACGAAACGGCAGAGGUGAACGUACGCCCACUUGGGAAGCAGCCACUGCAGUCGUCCACGACCCGAGGAGGGUGAGAGGUGCUGCCUGGUAUGUCUGGAAGGCUUCCUGAAAGAGGAGGUAUGGAUGAUGUGGCUUUGAAGAAGACAGAAGCCAAAGAUCUGAGCAGCGGGAGAAGAAUAAGAAUCUGGCGUGACAUCAGGGAAGUCGUUCCUUCGUUCCUGGCCGCGCAGAGCCUGGUGGGCCAGGGUGAGUGCCGAGGGGACCCAAUGGACCGAAGUGCCUGAUUUGUGUUCAGAGUCUCCUGGUUGCUUGAGGAAGCAGAUUGCCAGAUAAGAUACAGGACACCCAGUUAAACCGGAAUAUCAGAUAAACAACGCAUGAUUUUUUUUAAGCCUAAGUAUAUCCCGAGUAAGGCAAUGGGACGUACUUAUGCUAAAAUAUUACUGUCCUUCUGGAAUUCAAAUUUAA